CCCCUCUCAGGGUCACAUCUGGAGAGUUUUCAGUAUUCUACCAAUCUCAAGUACAGGAGGGAGAGCUAAGCAGAGUCAUACCCAUUCCAUUACUAGCUUGGGCAGUGGCUAGCAAGUGGAAGGCAAUCUGCUACAAAC